CGAGAUUCUGGGGGCUCCAAGGGGGUGCAGUGUCUAUUUAGACAUCACUCAUUCUACUCAAGGUUUCAAAGCCUGACCGACGAGGGACAGAACAAAAGAGACACCUUGUGAACACACCCUCAGGACAGUAGGGCAGAAGAGCCAGCAGUCUUAGUGGGCACUAGCAGUAGAGGAAGUGGGCACCAGUCAGCACCAGGCACCCUACUUAUCUCCCCACCAGAAACAGACUGAUGAGGCCAUAGGAGCAGGAGAACAGUGGAGGCUGGGGCAAGAGGGACCAGGAACUGAAGGCACCUCCCCAGGGGAUACUAUCCCCACCCCCCAGCUCAGCUCCAUCCAGGAAAGAGGGAAUAGAGAAAAUUCCUAAGAGGACCUGUAAACAGAUAGUGGCCAGAUGUAAACCUGCCUCAACUCUUAUAUGUCUUUCCUGAGCUUACUCAAGACAAGUACCAU
rnacentral:lncRNA from 1 species